rnacentral:rRNA from 1 species
AGCGGCGGAUGGGUGAGUAACACGUGGGGAACCUGCCCCUAAGUCUGGGAUACCAUUUGGAAACAGGUGCUAAUACCGGAUAAUAAAGCAGAUCGCAUGAUCAGCUUUUGAAAGGCGGCGUAAGCCGUCGCUAAGGGAUGGCCCCGCGGUGCAUUAGCUAGUUGGUAAGGUAACGGCUUACCAAGGCGACGAUGCAUAGCCGAGUUGAGAGACUGAUCGGCCACAUUGGGACUGAGACACGGCCCAAACUCCUACGGGAGGCAGCAGUAGGGAAUCUUCCACAAUGGACGCAAGUCUGAUGGAGCAACGCCGCGUGAGUGAAGAAGGUUUUCGGAUCGUAAAGCUCUGUUGUUGGUGAAGAAGGAUAGAGGUAGUAACUGGCCUUUAUUUGACGGUAAUCAACCAGAAAGUCACGGCUAACUACGUGCCAGCAGCCGCGGUAAUACGUAGGUGGCAAGCGUUGUCCGGAUUUAUUGGGCGUAAAGCGAGCGCAGGCGGAAAAAUAAGUCUAAUGUGAAAGCCCUCGGCUUAACCGAGGAACUGCAUCGGAAACUGUUUUUCUUGAGUGCAGAAGAGGAGAGUGGAACUCCAUGUGUAGCGGUGGAAUGCGUAGAUAUAUGGAAGAACACCAGUGGCGAAGGCGGCUCUCUGGUCUGCAACUGACGCUGAGGCUCGAAAGCAUGGGUAGCGAACAGGAUUAGAUACCCUGGUAGUCCAUGCCGUAAACGAUGAGUGCUAAGUGU